UAAUUUGAUUCUAUUAUUAUGAAGAAUGCGUCACAGAAGGAGUCUAAGUUCAUCUCAACAAUAUCACCUUUAAUAGAUAUGUCUAGCAUUAAUUCUGUUUUGGGACAAAUGAAUUGACAUGGAUACAAAACAUGGAUCAAUGGUUUGGAAAUGAAUCUUUGGCAUUAAAUGCGUCCGAGCUGCAGUAGACUAUACCAAGCCUUAAUUGAUACAAUCAGAAGAAGAAACAGAGAUGGGCCUCUAUCAGAGCCCAAGCAACAUUCAAAUAGGUUCCAUUUUUUGGGACAACGUACUUCACCUAGGGAUUCAAAAGCAAUGAUCAUACAGAAUCACAUAGGCUUUGAAAUAAAUAGUUAAAACAAGAAAUGACUAACCAAAAGAAAAAUGUAUAAUAUGGAUAGAAACUCAUACGACAGACUUCAAUUAUAUUAUAAUUAAUAAUAAGAAAUGACAUUGCAUAGUCCUACUGAUUGCACUUGAUGCACUAGAUAAAUUACAUUUAUGUGAAGUGUUAUGGCCUGAUUCUGACCCCGUCUGGGCUAAUUGAUUUAACCAGCAGGGAUCCUGAUACUCCCUUCAUUACUACCCGGUUGGCUUGAAAUCUAAUCAGUGAUAGAUUUGAUCAAUUGGUGAUCAAAUUUAAUUACUGCCUAGCUUUGACCUUCACAUGCCAAUAUCAAAUCAAAAUUACACACUAAUUUCAUGAGCUAACACUCAAAUAAAGCAAUAGCAUUAUUUCCAUUAUAUGCUUAACGUUUUCUUUUUUCUUAAAACAAAUCUAGGUUUUGACUGAAGGAAUAGUUUUGAAACACUCUUCAUUAUUAAAUCAAGCAAAAAUAAUUUAAACCUAACAAAACAACCUUCAGUAGUGAUAAACCAACUUUAGCCACAUGAAACCAAACUUGCACAUCUUAUGGACACAGAAAAAGGAAGACUCAGAUUUUAGAAGUUCAUAACUAAACUGACAACAUGAAAUAUUCAAUACUACACAUAAACUGAAUUUUAGUUGAAGACAAAACAGAUUCACAACACCUUUUUAUCAUUAAAUAUAUGAAAUCCACAUGUGUCUCAUAGGUUGGAUAAUAGAACCUUUAUGUAGUUAAUACAUCAAACUUAAGCAUUCAGCUUACAUACAAAGAAGAAAAAGCCAAGCAAACAAGAACAAUCCAACCAAAAUAUAACAGGUAACUCCAAAUGGAACAAGCCUGAUAUUUUCAUAUAACUCAAAAACAGCAGCAGGUUUACAUACCUAAGAAACAGCAAGGAGCAAAAGAACACAAGGGCAAAAAGAUAAAUCUCUGAAUUUGGGGACAACUAAACCCAGAAUCUCACAACAGCUUGAUUCAAAGAAUAAGCAAACUCAACAACCAAAACAGUAAAUUCCAGCAGAAAUCUGAUGUUAAAAUCAGUAGAGAAGAUCCAGAUUGAAUUCUGAAAUUUUCUGUCUAAGUAUUUGUGUGUGCCUAUUUUGAGAGUGAAUAUGUUGAAAAGAAUCCCUCCCCUUAUGAGUGAGGGUUAUUUCUUUAUAUAGAGUGUAAGAAAAAUGCAUAAGGGUAGGAAUAAUAGAGAAUAUUUUCUCCUAAAAAUCAGAAAUGCCAACUGUAAAUAAGAAUAGUACAACAUUUGUUUUCAACAGACUUGGAACAACUGUCCUUUUUACCAAUUUUCAGCAUCUAUCCACACCAAAAAAGGGACAACUAUCCAAUACUAGAACCUUCUGAUAUUUUUACCUAAAGUUUAUCUAUUCUUACUUUCAAAUUAACCCCUUUAAGUUCUGCUUAACACAAAUAAACACCCUAGUUUUUUGUUUUAUAUGCCCUAAACUUCCUUAUUCUCUUUUAGACCCCCUCUUUUGAAUUUCAAAAAUAACAGAGACUCAGACAAAUCAGAAAUCACAGUACAAAACAAAUAUUCAACUUUUAAAACUAUUUUAAGUAAUUAAAUAAUCCAAAAAAUAUAUUGACAAAACAAAAUAAACAAAAGGGACAUUAAUCUGACCGGAUUUAACAUCCAUCCGGUCAGAAUAGCAAAAAAGCAAAAGAAAAGGCAAUAUUAAUCCUAAAUUAUUUUUCAACAAUCAUGCAAUGAACGUUUUAACCUAAUUAUGCAAAUCACAAGACCAAACCAAUCUUUUAACAUGCUAAACAGAUUUUCUACCAAAUCAAAACAAAAAGGUAAAAUAACAGUUAACCAAAGGAAGGAAAAACGAAGGGCAUAUUUAUUACCUAAGAAUGAUUUUUGACAAAAGCUUGGCCAAAUACGAAGUCUGAACCUCUUCGAAAUGGUCCAAAAUUAACACUAAUCAAUUGUUAGCAUAAGUUUCGAGCCAAAGACGAGUCUUGAAACUCGCCGAAAAAUAAGAGGACAAGGAACUUGAUUUUUCUAUUUUCUAGAUCUGAUUUUGAGAAAAACCGGUGGGGAUUUUGGGGAAUAUGAUAGUGGCUUGAUAAUGAGGGGAGGUUGAGGAGUAUAGGGUGUUGAUUUGGAGAAGAUUGGGGAAGUUUAAGGCGGCGCCAUCGGCCGAUGGAGGUGAAGGAUUUGGGGGCGGAUAGGGUUAGGAAUUUGGUGAGGGAGAUGAGAGAAUUGAGAGGGUCUUUAGGGUUUUUUCUUUUUGGG
rnacentral:lncRNA from 1 species